CUUGCUGAAAUACACCAAAGAACUCAUGAUAUUCCGGCAGCUUCUUGCUGCUUCUGCGGACUCAAGCCAAUUGGAAGUUUCUUCUGGACCAAACUGACACUGCUGAUUUGAAAACGGUGUUUGCGAGUGGACUGAGCUACUGCUGCUGAUUUCUGUGAACUGAGCUGCUGAUAUCCUGACAAAUGAAGAUGGGACUCACCACCAAAGAACUCUUUCUAAACAGAUCUUGACUCAGCAAAAUGCCACGGGAGUGUGCAUCACAUGACAUGACCAGAAGCUUCCACUUCAAGUGCUAGAGUUCAUCUCUCUCUGCUUCCUGAUUUUGGAUGUCAUGUGAUCUGCUGCCUCGUGCUCCAGCCACUGCCCCUUCGCUGCCAUGAUAGACUGCACCUGAUUCUGGGCCAAAAUAAGCCCUUCUUUUCUUAAGCUGCUUUUACAAUGACUAGAACCACUUCAAAGAACCAAAUCUAGAAACUUCCCUACAGACAUACCAAGAUGUUUGUCUCCUAGGCCAUUUCUAGAUUCUACCACAUAGAUAAUUUAUAGUAACCAUCACAGGAAGUUAUUAGGGUGUGGCUAUAUUAAAAUCCAAGAGGGAAUAUGACAUAAAUUAGGAAGAGAAUAUGGUUUGGAACUUGUCAAUUUUGGAUUUAUUAUUGUGAUUUGACUCAAUUAAUUUUAUUACCUUAAUAACAUUUUAAUAUAUACUUUCCCUAUAUCAGAAACUGAAACUGUUUUGGACUCUCAAAACUCCCAAAGAUGUUUUUUUUUUUUUUUUUUUUUUUUUUUUUUGCAAGAGGUUUACAGAUGUGAAGAAAGCACUUUAGUUUUAUAGUCUUUUGGUUUUUUUUUGUUGUUGUUGUUUUUGUUUUUUUUUUUGUUACAUACUAACGUUAACUCACUGUUCUAGUUUUAUUUCUGUCGUUGUGAUAAACACCCCGAGAAAAAGCAGCUUUGGGGAGGAGAGGUUUAUUUUCACUUGUUGCUCCAGAUUACAGUCAAUCACUGAAGGAAGUCAAGGUCAUCAGCAUCUCACCUCUGUUCAGAGGCAUCCUCGGUAAAAAGCCAUCUCUGUGGUUGGAGUGAGAGAGUCUCCUAAGCAGAGCUGUCCAGUUUGUUAUUUGGACGAAGACCCGACCAGCUCUCUUCCAGAGUCCCAAUCCCAGUGAGGUUCUACAGCCCAGUCUACUUUAAGUCUCUCAGGCUGAGCCGGCACACACAAGACUCUAUAUGCAGAGAUUCACAGAGCCUACAGAGUGCAAACACAUAUACCCAGAACGUUAAGACAGGAUGACAUUUAAGAUAUUUCUAAACCCAACUCACAAUGAAGCUAUUAUUUUGAGGCCUACCAAGGAAUGCCUCAGGACAUACAACUAUGAAGCACUUUAUAGAACCCAGUUUAUGAAAUUUGGUUUACAGAAAGAAACUGGUUGCAUCACCAUGACCUAUUGGACCUCCUAUGACCCAGUACCCACCUUCCUCAGAAGCCUCGGAUGACCUCUCCUCGUCGUCGUGAACUUCACGUCUCAUAGCAGAAAACCACAUCCUGUUCCUGUGUACGGUGUGCCCCUCCCCAUGACUCUGGCAGAGCAGUUUCCUCUGUGACAUCUCUCUGUUUGGCUACCUAUGCCUGUUACUCAACUCUGGGCUUAAGAAAUUCCACCCUGAGCUAAGCCUGUGUCUUCUGAGGUCUGGCUACCAAAGCAUAAACGUGAACAUAACUUGUGUCUGUCUCUUUUUAGUCUACUUUACCUGUGGAAAAAAAAGUCCAAGUGACCAUGUUGAUGGUAGUGGUGGUGAUUUCUUAGCUUCUGUAGAAGAAGCAGGUAGGGCUGAGGAGCUGAGGAACCUGUUGGAUGUUUCUGCAGUAGGGGAUGGGCUGGGGUGUGAGUUCAGACAGCUUACCCCUAAGACAGCACUUGUACAUCUGACAGCAGCAUGAGCACUGGCAGUGGGCCCUUGGCAAGUGUUCACUGUUGUAUGUUCAGUGUGUGCUCCCUGCAUGUCCCCCUGCUAAUGUUAUGGAAGUUGAGCAUGAUGUAGCAAAGAGAAUCACGUUGUCUAUGUUUUACUUCUGGCAAAGCCGGUAAUAGAAAAAUGGUAGAGCUGAGGGAUAACCAGCUAAUUUACCAAAUUACCCUCAGCAUACUUGUUCUCUUAGACAUGUGUGCUGGUGCUGACAACCCUUGGUGGUUAGCCUUAGUGGUUAGCUUUGGUGGUUAGCCUUGGUGGUUAGCCUUGGCAGUUAGCCUUGGCGGUUAGCCUUGGCAGAAGGAAAACAACCUGGUGUUUGAUGGUGGCUCUCUGUCUUGUCACCUGUCCUUCCAUUCGAAGCCCAGUGGGAGUCUCUUGUUGGAAGUUAGUGUGAAAUGUUUUCUAUCUCAAAGAUACUUUCAUGUACAAAAAGGGAUAUGAGUUUGCAAGUGGUGUUAGCAGUUCGAUAAAAAGCAAGAUUCAAGCACACUACCGUUUCCGCUUGCGCAGAAGUUGUUUUUCAGAGCUACAGAUAAAUCUGUGAUAGUUUCUGUACUUUGAAAUAUUGCUAGGUGACUUGGGAAUAAUUGAAGUGUCUUUGAGUGGGUCUCCUCUGAAUUGGUAUUUUUAAUUUAAAAAGUUCAAAUACAUUAUUUUUGUUAUGGUCUGUGAAGAUCAAAAGUCAUCAUGGACUGAUGAAUUAUACUUUUGAAUUAUAAAUGAGAAACAAGGGGUCAUGGUCUCCAUAAGCCUUUUCUUUGCUUCUUAAUUAAAAUUCCCAGAUGAAAGAAAACAUUGAAAGCAGAAUAUUGGCUUAUAAAUAAUAAUAAUAAAAUGAUGGUAACUUC